rnacentral:rRNA from 1 species
CAGUAGCCGCGGGAAAACGUAGGUGGCAAGCGUUAUCCGGAAUUAUUGGGCGUAAAGCGCGCGUAGGCGGUUUUUUAAGUCUGAUGUGAAAGCCCAUGGCUCAACCGUGGAGGGUCAUUGGAAACUGGAAAACUUGAGUGCAGAAGAGGAAAGUGGAAUUCCAUGUGUAGCGGUGAAAUUCGCAGAGAUAUGGAGGAACACCAGUGGCGAAGGCGACUUUCUGGUCUGUAACUGACGCUGAUGUGCGAAAGCGUGGGGAUCAAACAGGAUUAGAUACCCGAGUAGUCCCUGUCUCUUAUAC